GUAUCCGUGGUGUAUUGGUUCGCACGCACCCCUGUGGAGGGUGAAGAAAGGGUUCAAAUCCCUUCGGAUACC
rnacentral:tRNA from 1 species